rnacentral:rRNA from 1 species
GACGAACCUUGCAAACGUUGUUCGGAAUCACUGGGCUUAAAGGGCGCGUAGGCGGCUCAUCAAGUCGGGGGUGAAAUCUUUCGGCUCAACCGGAAAAGUGCCUUCGAUACUGAUGAGCUAGAGCGAGGUAGGGGCAGAUGGAACUUCCGGUGGAGCGGUGAAAUGUGUUGAUAUCGGAAGGAACGCAGGUGGCGAAAGCGAUCUGCUGGACCUCUUCUGACGCUGAGGCGCGAAAGCCAGGGGAGCAAACGGG